UACAGAGGCCUCGAGCGUUAUGCGGAAUCACUGGGCUUAAAGCGUGUGUAGGUGGAUGCCUAAGUACCUUGUGAAAUCCCACGGCUUAACCGUGGAACUGCUGGGUAUACUGGGUGUCUUGAGCCACUCAGGGGCUACCGGAACAAAUGGUGGAGCGGUGAAAUGCGUAGAUAUCAUUUGGAACGCCAAUGGUGAAAACAGGUAGCUGGGGGUGUGCUGACACUGAGACACGAAAGCCAGGGGAGCAAACGGG
rnacentral:rRNA from 1 species